rnacentral:rRNA from 1 species
CACGUAGGCGGACUUUCAAGUCAGGGGUGAAAUCCCGGGGCUCAACCUCGGAAUUGCCUUUGAUACUGUGAGUCUCGAGUCCGGAAGAGGUGGGUGGAAUUCCUAGUGUAGAGGUGAAAUUCGUAGAUAUUAGGAAGAACACCGGUGGCGAAGGCGGCCCACUGGUCCGGUACUGACGCUGAGGCUCGAAAGCACGGGUAGCAAAC